rnacentral:lncRNA from 1 species
UAGAAUUGCCCCUAGAUCAGGAUUGGCUCUUAAUAAAGGGAUUGAUGUUCUGGCUGGAGUAAUAGAUCCUGAUUACAGGGGAACAGUAAAAAUUUUGUUAUAUAAUUCCUCGAACAAUGAAUCAUCCUUUGUUCGAGGUGACAAGAUUGCUCAGUUUAUUUUUGAAAAGUGUGCAAUUCCAAAAAUUGAAGAAGUCAAUAUUCUUAGUUGCACCGAUAGAGGAGAUAGAGGUUUUGGGUCCUCAAAUUCAAAUUAAUUAAAGCUAAAUGUAAUAAAGUCUACGUAUAGCAAACAUCUUUAAAAAAAUGUGAAAACGCUUCCAGAAUUAAAAAUCGAUGAGAUAGAAGACAAAAACUGGGACAAUGAGGAAUAUCAUGAAACAUAUGUAUAUUCCUAACUUACAAAGAGACAUUAUUUUAACAAUUCCGGUGUCUAAAAAUAAAAAAUUUAAAAAACGGUUUAGAAUUAGUGAGGUAAAAAGACAUGCUGAGUUAAAUAAAAAUAAAAACUA